rnacentral:rRNA from 1 species
GUCCACGCCGUAAACGAUGGGCACUAGAUGCCGGGUCCCUAGACGGGUUCGGUGUCGAAGCUAACGCAUUAAGUGCCCCGCCUGGGGAGUACGGCCACAAGGCUGAAACUCAAAGGAAUUGACGGGGGCCCGCACAAGCGGUGGAGCAUGUGGUUUAAUUCGAAGCAACGCGAAGAACCUUACCUGGGCUUGACAUCCAUGUGAAACCCCCUAGAAACAGGGGGCCUCCUUCGGGACGCAUGGACAGGUGCUGCAUGGCUGUCGU